UUGAUCAGCAUGGACAUGGUUUGAUGUGUGUUCGGUACCACAUAACAUGCGAGAAUACCUUCUCCAGUAUGUUGGAGAGAAGAUUAGCAAGAAAAAGGCGGGUGAGAAAAUGAGAAGUUGACAGAAAAAGAUUUUUUUUCAUUAUCGAAAGGGACAUGUACAACAUCCAUAAUGGAGUGUCUGAUGGAAUUUGUCAUUUCAUUAAUAAAUAAUGCUGAUAAAGAUGCAAACUUAGCAAUUGUGCCUAAAAAGUGACAGCUUUGACAAGGAAAUAUAUCCAUAUAUAACAGUUACUGGUACUGUCUGAAUGCAGUGAAAGGAUCCAGAUGAACAGAUGAAGAGAUUAAGUACAAUGUACAUCAAUUACUUGAAUGAAGAGAAUCUGCAACAUGGGGAAAUAAUGUUCCUAUAGAAAAGUCAAAGAAUGUAUACAUGUGAGAUUCUGAAAUAGCCGUACAUGAUGAGUAGGAAUUUGAAGUGAAUUAUGGGAAAAGUGAAAUGGUAAAAAAGAAACUGCUAGCGCUACUGUGCAGACUACCAUCAAUCAACAUGAUCAACAAAAUGAAGUAAUCCUUCUGAAGAUGGAGUAGUACACAAGCACAAUUUUUUAAAGAAAGAAAAGUCAAUGGAAUGAAAGCCAAAGAAAAGGUGAAGUGAAUUGUCACUCAUUAUAUUUUAAAUUUAAUGUGAACAUGGUCAUUAUUUUAGUUAUGUCAUAACCUUCUUAUCAAUUUUAAGCAGUGCAGACAGAUGCAUUUCUUAUUGCUUUGAAUAGAAUAAAUUAUCAAAAAAGUUUGUAUAUGUUUUUUGAUAUAGAAUUUAAAUUAAAAAAAAAAAAACAAAUUAUCAAUUAUUGCAGUUUUGAAUUUCAGUACACUAGAAAUUUUUCUACCCUGCCAUGAAUAUGGCUGGGGCAUAUAGAGUUUAUCAUGUCCGUCUUCCGUCCUUCCAACCUUCUGUCUGUCCUUCCAUUCCGCUUUGCUUUUAGCUCAGUUCAAAACUAAGUUUCAAAGAAACUAUUCAAGAUAUUUUUAUCAAUCUUCAUAUGCUGAUACAUAUUGAUGAGAGGUAUUCAAUUUCAUCAACAUUUUUUUACCUUGACCGUUCCUUUAACUUUGACCUCACUUUUCUUAAAUAAGUGUUUAGCUCAGUUUUAAAGAAACCAUUCAAGAUAGUGUAAUCAAACUUCAUAUGCUGAUACAUACUGAAUCAACAUUUUUUUACCUUGACCUUUCCUUUGACCUUGACCGUACUUAUCUUAAAUAAGUGUUUAGCUCAGUUUUAAAGAAACCAUUCAGGAUAGCGUAAUCAAACUUCGUUUGCUGAUACAUACUGAUGAGAGCUAUUUAACUACAUCAACAUUUUUUGAUCUUGAUCUUUCCUUUGACCUUCACCUCACUUUUCCUAAAUUAGUGUCAAACUUCAUAUGCUGAUACAGACUGAUGUAAAGUAUUCGACUGUAUCAACAUUUUUGACCUUGACAUUUCAUUUGACCUUGACUUCAUUUUUCUUGAAAUAGUGAUUAGCUCAGUGUUAAAUAAACGGUUUCCAUUCAAAAUAUUUUUAUCAAACUUAUUUUGCUUAUGCGUAUUAGUGAGAACUAUUCAACUGCAUCAAAAAUGUAUGACCUUGAACUUUCCUGUGACCUGGACCUCAUUUUACUUAAAUUUGCAUUUUGCUUAGUUUUAAAGAAACCAUUAAAGAUAAUUUUAUGUGAGCUUAUGCACUUAACAGAAUUUGGUGAGAAUUUAUCAUCUAUAUCCAACUUUUUCGAUUUCAAUGUUAAAGAAACUAUUUUAAGAUAUUCUCAUCAAA